rnacentral:rRNA from 1 species
AUUGAACGCUGGCGGCAUGCCUUACACAUGCAAGUCGAACGGCAGCGCGGGGCAACCUGGCGGCGAGUGGCGAACGGGUGAGUAACAUAUCGGAACAUACCCUAGAGUGGGGGAUAACGUAGCGAAAGUUACGCUAAUACCGCAUACGCACUAAGGUGGAAAGUGGGGGAUUCGCAAGAACCUCAUGCUCAUGGAGUGGCCGAUAUCUGAUUAGCUAGUUGGUGAGGUAAAGGCUCACCAAGGCGACGAUCAGUAGCUGGUUUGAGAGUACGACCAGCCACACUGGAACUGAGACACGGUCCAGACUCCUACGGGAGGCAGCAGUGGGGAAUUUUGGACAAUGGGGGCAACCCUGAUCCAGCAAUGCCGCGUGAGUGAAGAAGGCCUUCGG